rnacentral:rRNA from 1 species
AUACGGAGGGUGCAAGCGUUGUUCGGAAUCACUGGGCGUAAAGGGCGCGCAGGCGGUUUGGUAAGUCAGAUGUGAAAGCCCAUGGCUCAACCAUGGAAGUGCAUUUGAAACUGUCAGACUUGAGUACUAGAGGGGAAAGUGGAAUUCCCGGUGUAGAGGUGAAAUUCGUAGAUAUCGGGAGGAAUACCGGUGGCGAAGGCGACUUUCUGGCUAGAUACUGACGCUGAGGCGCGAAAGCGUGGGGAGCAAACAGGAGUAGAUACCCGAGUAGUCC